rnacentral:rRNA from 1 species
UGGGGGGAUAUUGCGCAAUGGGGGAAACCCUGACGCAGCAACGCCGCGUGAAGGAAGAAGGUUUUCGGAUCGUAAACUUCUUUAAGUGGGGAAGAUAAUGACGGUACCCACAGAAUAAGCCACGGCUAACUACGUGCCAGCAGCCGCGGUAAUACGUAGGUGGCAAGCGUUGUCCGGAUUUACUGGGUGUAAAGGGCGUGUAGGCGGGAUUGCAAGUCAGAUGUGAAAGACCGGGGCUCAACUCCGGGGCUGCAUUUGAAACUGCAGUUCUUGAGUGUCGGAGAGGAAAGCGGAAUUCCUAGUGUAGCGGUGAAAUGCGUAGAUAUUAGGAGGAACACCGGUGGCGAAGGCGGCUUUCUGAACGAUAACUGACGCUGAGACGCGAAAGCGUGGUAGCAAACAGGAUUAGAUACCCUGGUAGU